ACCUCAGUAUGCCUCACUCAAGCCUGUGGGACAGAUGGGUACAGCUGGAGACGAGUUUGUGAGGCUGAACAUUGCCUGUAACUCACUUGUGAGGCUGUUGACUGAGAACUGGUUUUUAGGGAGAGAGGGAGGAGACCCAGAAAACAGUGGGAAGCAAGUGGGUGCUGUCUCCAUGGAGUGAAAGCUGCCCAGCAAAGGGUGCAGCUGUGGUCAUAGGGUGGGCAUGGGAAGGCACACUCUGGCUGGCUCACUCUGCCUUCUGAGAAUGUAAAGGGCCUUUCGGAAAAGACCUCCCUAGCCCCCCAUCCUUGGCAGCACCACCCACCAGCCCCUUCCGGUGGACUUCACACCUGCACGGCACCUCCUGGCUCUCAUUCAUCCUGCCUUUCUUUUUCCAGCAGGUGGGAGAGUCAGACUCAGAGGAGGGAGCACUCCCAGGAGCCUCCAACCCUCUGCCCACCGCCCUACUGCAGGAGUUACAGAUCUUGGGGGUCUCUCAGUGGGGGAAAUCAGCCCAGGUGGGACUUGAGGAAGAGGAGAAGGCCAGCCAUCUGGAUGGCCUGAACCCAGUCACAGACUUAGGGCCGCCAGUGACCUCUGUGGUGGGAACAGGUGACCUAGAACACACUGGUUUGGUCCCAGUUCAAGAAGUAAUUAGAUAUGCUCUCAAAGAAGUCCCCAAAGCUUUAAUUAAACUCCAAUAAAAGUGAGGCUCAGUCCCUUUGUUGCAUGAGCUUCAUUUCCAAGAGUCACAC
rnacentral:lncRNA from 1 species